rnacentral:rRNA from 1 species
AGUCGAACGAGGCCUUCGGGUCUAGUGGCGCACGGGUGCGUAACGCGUGGGAAUCUGCCCUUGGGUUCGGAAUAACAUCGGGAAACUGAUGCUAAUACCGGAUGAUGACGUAAGUCCAAAGAUUUAUCGCCCAGGGAUGAGCCCGCGUAGGAUUAGCUAGUUGGUGGGGUAAAGGCCUACCAAGGCGACGAUCCUUAGCUGGUCUGAGAGGAUGAUCAGCCACACUGGGACUGAGACACGGCCCAGACUCCUACGGGAGGCAGCAGUAGGGAAUAUUGGACAAUGGGGGCAACCCUGAUCCAGCAAUGCCGCGUGAGUGAUGAAGGCCUUAGGGUUGUAAAGCUCUUUUACCCGGGAUGAUAAUGACAGUACCGGGAGAAUAAGCCCCGGCUAACUCCGUGCCAGCAGCCGCGGUAAUACGGAGGGGGCUAGCGUUGUUCGGAAUUACUGGGCGUAAAGCGCACGUAGGCGGCGAUUUAAGUCAGAGGUGAAAGCCCGGGGCUCAACCCCGGAACUGCCUUUGAGACUGGAUUGCUUGAACAUCGGAGAGGUGAGUGGAAUUCCGAGUGUAGAGGUG